GGGGGCGUAGCUCACAUGGUAGAGCGCUCGCUUUGCAUGCGAGAGGUACCGGGAUCGAUGCCCGGCGCCUCCA
rnacentral:tRNA from 1 species